rnacentral:rRNA from 1 species
UACGUAGGGUGCGAGCGUUGUCCGGAAUUAUUGGGCGUAAAGGGCGCGUAGGCGGUUUGUCGCGUAGGGUGUGAAAACCUCGGGCUUAACUCGGGGCUUGCUUUCGAUACGGGCAGACUGGAGGUAUGCAGGGGAGAACGGAAUUCCUGGUGUAGCGGUGAAAUGCGCAGAUAUCAGGAGGAACACCGGUGGCGAAGGCGGUUCUCUGGGCAUGACCUGACGCUGAGGAGCGAAAGUGUGGGGAGCGAACAGG